CUUGAAUUGCUGACAUCACCCCUCUCCCUCCCCCCAGCACUGGCCACGUGGCAUGGAGAGAGAAUAUGUGUGCUUUGGGGAGAGGGACUGCAGUGAUUGUGGGACUUUGCAUUGGAACUCAGCACUGCCCUGUCACAGUGGAAAGAAACCUAGGACAGAAUUUGGCCAGCACCUAUGAAGGAACAUUUAGGCCAGCCUUAGACAGAGGGGAAUCAUCCAUUCCAGUGGUUGGAACCUGAGUUCCAGCUAGCCCCCCCACCACAGGCUAAAGCACUCCGGGGUCCUAAAUAAACAUGAAAGUCAGUCUAGGCCACAAGGAUUGCAAUUCCUGGGCAAGUCCUGGUACUGUUCUGGGCUCAGAACAAGUGGACUUGGGGUACACACAACUCAGUGAGACACUAGAUGGGGCAGCCAAAGAAAUGCUUAAAUCACCCUUUUCCCAUUCCAAGACAAUGUAGCUUACAGGCCCAGGAGAGACUUCUUCCUUUUGCUUGAGGAAAGGAGAGAGGAGACUAAAGAGGACUGUCUUGCAACUUGGAUACCAGCUAAUCCACAGUAGAAGAGGUCACCAGGCAGUCGUGAGGCCUCCAUUCCAGGCCCUAACUCCCAGAUGACAUUUCUAGACAUACGCUAGGCCAGAAGAGAAACUGUUGUUGCCUUGAAGUAAAGGACCCAGUCCUAGCAGGAUUCGUCACCUGAUGACUAAAGAGCUGCUGAGCCUUGAAUAAACAUCAGCAGUACUUGGAUGAGACCCAGGGCUUUGCUGGCUUCAGAUGUGACCCAGCAUAUUCCCAACUUUGGUGGCCACAGGGAGAGGCUCCUUCUGCUUGAGGAAAGGACAGGAAAGAGUAAAGGGGACGUUGUCAUAGAGCUUAGGCAUCAGCUCAGCCGCAGUAGCAUACAGCACUAAGCAGGCUCCUGGGGUUCCCAAUUCCAGGCCUUGGCUUCUGGAUGGCAUUUCUGGAUCCACCCUCAGCCAGAGGUGAGCCCACUGCCCUGAAGGGAGAGACCCAGACCUGGCAGCAUUCACCACAAGCUGACUGAAGAGCAUGUGAGCCUUGAGUGAACACUGGCACUAACCAGGCAGUACUCGCAGUGGCCCUGGGGCAAUGGUGGCCAUGAGAAGACACUCCUGCAUAAGAAAAGGAGAAGGAAGAGUGGAAAGGACUUUAUCUUGCAGCUUGGAUGCCAGCAUAACUACAGUAGAAUAGAGUACCAAGUAGAAUCCUAAGGUUCUGAACUCCAAGCUCUGGCUCCCAGAUGGCAUUUAUGAACCUGCCCUGGGCCAGAGGUGGGAGCUCGCUGCCAUGAACAGGAUACAAGCCUGGCUGGAUUUACC
rnacentral:lncRNA from 10 species